rnacentral:rRNA from 1 species
AAACUCAAAUGAAUUGACGGGGCCCGCACAAGCGGAGGAACAUGUGGUUUAAUUCGAUGAUACGCGAGGAACCUUACCUGGGCUUAAAUGGGGAGUGACAGCUGUCGAAAGAUGGUUUUCUUCGGACACUCUUCAAGGUGCUGCAUGGUUGUCGUCAGCUCGUGCCGUGAGGUGUCGGGUUAAGUCCCAUAACGAGCGCAACCCUUACCGUUAGUUACCAUCAGGUUAAGCUGGGGACUCUAGCGGGACUGCCACCGUAAGGUGAGAGGAAGUGGGGAUGACGUCAAAUCAGCACGGCCCUUAUGUCCAGGGCUACACACGUGUUACAAUGGCCAGUACAAAGGGCAGCUACCGGGUGACCGGAUGCUAAUCUCUAAAGCUGGUCUCAGUUCGGAUCGAAGUCUGCAACCCGACUUCGUGAAGCUGGAUUCGCUAGUAAUCGCGCAUCAGCCAUGGCGCGGUCGAAUACGUUCCCGGGCCUU